rnacentral:ncRNA from 1 species
AAGCGAGGACGACCUCCCCCCAUGUUGGGACAGAACCCGGGACGGCCCGG